rnacentral:rRNA from 1 species
AACGUAGGAGACAAACGUUAUCCGGAGUUACUGGGCGUAAAGGGCGUGUAGGUGGUAGAGUAAGUCUGGCGUGAAAUUUUUCGGCUUAACCGGGAAAGGUCGUCGGAUACUGCUUAACUAGAGGACGGUAGAGGCGUGUGGAAUUCCGGGUGUAGUGGUGAAAUGCGUAGAGAUCCGGAGGAACACCAGUGGCGAAGGCGACACGCUGGGCCGUACCUGACACUGAUGCGCGAAGGCGUGGGGAGCGAACGGG